CAGCCCUAUAGGAGACACCUCCAGAGAAAGUAACAACUCUCAGUUGAUUAGCUGAGGUAUGUAUGUCAUUUAUGGCAAUACCUGUCUCCAUCCCCUCCGUCUUCUUCUAGGAGACCAAUUUUGUAAAUUGCUACUUUUCUAACAACAGUGGCACAGGUGGCCCAGCAUUCUCCCUUUUCUCAGAGCUGGUUUUCCAUCCUGGAAAGAGGUCUUACAUAUACAAAGUUACUCUAAUCAGUUGUAAGCUUCAGGGGCUGGAUCCUGACAUGAACCAGGCACCUCCAGAAUUCUAUCCCAAGCAAAAGAUUACUUCAAGGCCAGAACUCACUCCCUGCUGGAGACUGACUACAAGAUCCACUGAGAUUGACUUGUAACCUGAUUGGGCCCACAGUGAUGCUAGCCCCUUCACCAGAUGGAACAAUAAUUCCAGACAAGCCAUCAGAGCAGGUCACACCGCUUGACACCUUCUCGCCCCCUUGCCUCUCCUGCAUUCCAAACCCCUCUCUUUAAAAUCCCCAUGUUCCCUCCGUAAGCUGGACAGUGCCAAUUGUUGGAAAGAAUUCUGGCAGUCUUUUCCUUCUUAGCAUGGAUAAAAAGAUUCACCCUCUUUUAAUCA
rnacentral:lncRNA from 1 species